AUCCAGCCGACGAGUCCCAAAUAGAACGAAACGCGCAUCCUGGAU
rnacentral:hammerhead_ribozyme from 1 species